AGUUUUAGGAGGAUGAGAAUUCCAGACGGAGAUAGAAGGCAGUAGUAGAGAGGAUAUAAAAGCAAGUUCAGGCUAAGCCUACCGGUUAUAGUUUGAAAGGAAUAGUUUGAUCUGGCCUUGUGACUACUGCUUAUGACCAUAGAUCUUGAUGCAGACGUCCUUUUGGAUUUCUUUUUAAUAAUGUGUGACCCUUCACCUUUGAUCCCUUGACCUGCAUUACCUUGGUAACCAUUUCAUUUUUAAUUUAAUUUCAUUUUUUAAUUUUUGUGUGCAAGCUGUAACAUUUCAUCAUCUUAAAUUGUAACUUUCUUUGACUUCCCCAAAUAUAUAAAUGUUCAUUUUAUCUAUAAAGUUAUAUAAUGCUGGGUUCAUUUUUGUAUUAAAAUUCAUUUCAGUUGUAAAAAUAAAGUGUAAAAAUCUCAUUUUCUUUUUCUUUAAGUUUAACAGUGUGCAUGUUUUUUGUAUAGUGCAUUACUUUUUCUACCCAUGUCCUUAGAAAACUUAAAACUUACUUAUUAUUUGUUGUUUUUGCACUUCUUAAAUGUUAACUUGCAUUUCCUCAGUAGUUAUCAGUAUCAGUAGGAAUUUCUCUGCAUUUUGUCUGCUGUUUUCUUUCUAUCCUACUCACAUUUUAAUAGUUUAAAAUGCCAUUGUGAGAACAUUUAAAAUAUUAUUUUAAUGAACAUAAAAUAAUAAAAAAUUAUACCAUUUUUAAUA